rnacentral:rRNA from 1 species
UUAGUCUUUCGCCCCUAUACCCAAAUUUGACGAUCGAUUUGCACGUCAGAACCGCUGCGAGCCUCCACCAGAGUUUCCUCUGGCUUCGCCCUAUUCAGGCAUAGUUCACCAUCUUUCGGGUCCCCACAGCUACGCUCUUACUCAAAUCCAUCCGAAGACAUCAGGAUCGGUCGAUGGUGCGCCCCGCAAGGGGCUCCCACCUCCGUUCGCUUUCACUGCGCGCACGGGUUUGACACCCGAACACUCGCGUAGAUGUUAGACUCCUUGGUCCGUGUUUCAAGACGGGUCGUUUACGACCAUUAUGCCAGCGUCCGUGCCGAAGCGCGUUCCUCGGUCCAGGCUGGCCGCAUUGCACCCCUGGCUAUAAGGUGCCCGGAGGGCACUACAUUCCAGGGCCUUUGACCGGCCGCCCAAACCGACGCUGGCCCGCCCACGGGAAGUACACCGGCACGAAUGCCGGCUGAACCCCGCGGGCGAGUCUGGUCGCAAGCGCUUCCCUUUCAACAAUUUCACGUGCUGUUUAACUCUCUUUUCAAAGUGCUUUUCAUCUUUCGAUCACUCUACUUGUGCGCUAUCGGUCUCCGGCCAGUAUUUAGCUUUAGAUGAAAUUUACCACCCAUUUAGAGCUGCAUUCCCAAACAACUCGACUCGUCGAAGGAGCUUUACACGGGCACGGACACCCCGCCCAAGACGGGAUUCUCACCCUCUCUGACGGCCCGUUCCAGGCACUUAGACGGGGCCGCACCCAAAGCAUCCUCUGCAAAUUACAAUGCGGACUCCGAAGGAGCCAGCUUUCAAAUUUGAGCUCUUGCCGCUUCACUCGCCGUUACUGAGGCAAUCCCGGUUGGUUUCUUUUCCUCCGCUUAUUGAUAUGCUUAAGUUCAGCGGGUAUCCCUACCUGAUCCGAGGUCAACCUGGAAAGAAUGGUUGGAAAACGUCGGCAGGCGCCGGCCAAUCCUACAGAGCAUGUGACAAAGCCCCAUACGCUCGAGAUCGGACGCGGUGCCGCCGCUGCCUUUCGGGCCCGUCCCCCCGGAGAGGGGACGGCGACCCAACACACAAGCCGGCUUGAGGGCAGCAAUGACGCUCGGACAGGCAUGCCCCCGGAAUACCAGGGGCGCAAUGUGCGUUCAAAGACUCGAUGAUUCACUGAAUUCUGCAAUUCACAUUAGUUAUCGCAUUUCGCUGCGUUCUUCAUCGAUGCCGGAACCAAGAGAUCCAUUGUUGAAAGU